rnacentral:rRNA from 1 species
UGCCCUACGGGGGGCAGCAGUAGGGAAUUUUCGUCAAUGGGCGCAAGCCUGAACGAGCAAUGCCGCGUGAACGAGGAAGGUCUUCGGAUCGUAAAGUUCUGUUGAAGGGGAAAAAGAGCGGAGAGAGGAAAUGAACUCCGAUUGAUAUUACCCUUCGAGGAAGUCACGGCUAACUACGUGCCAGCAGCCGCGGUAAUACGUAGGUGGCGAGCGUUAUCCGGAAUGAUUGGGCGUAAAGGGUGCGUAGGCGGCCUGCUAAGUCUGAUGUGAAAGCCUUCGGCUUAACCGGAGUAGUGCAUUGGAAA